rnacentral:rRNA from 1 species
GACGAACGCUGGCGGCGUGCUUAACACAUGCCAGUCGUACGGUAAGGCCCUUUCGGGGGUCCACGAGUGGCGAACGGGUGAGUAACACGUGAGUAACCUGCCCACAACUUUGGGAUAACGCUAGGAAACUGGUGCUAAUACUGGAUAUGUGCUCCUGCUGCGUGGUGGGGGUUGGAAAGCUCCGGCGGUUGUGGAUGGACUCGCGGCCUAUCAGCUUGUUGGUGGGGUAGUGGCCUACCAAGGCGGCGACGGGUAGCCGGCCUGAGAGGGUGACCGGCCACAGUGGGACUGAGAUACGGCCCAGACUCCUACGGGAGGCAGCAGUGGGGAAUAUUGCACAAUGGGCGCAAGCCUGAUGCAGCAACGCCGCGUGCGGGAGGACGGCCUUCGGGUUGUAAACCGCGUUCAGCAGGGACGAAGCUUUUUGUGACGGUACCUGCAGAAGAAGCACCGGCUAACUACGUG